rnacentral:lncRNA from 1 species
UUGAUUUGAUGCGAAUCGUUUUUCAGCUCAGGUGUGGAUCUUUGUUCAGGUUUUCAUUUUCUCUGUCAUAAUUAAGUUAACUAAAUACGUAAUUGAGCUUGCAUCUAUUUUUUAUUACUUAUUAAACUAUAGGUUAAAUAGUUAUUCUUCCUUUUUAGCUGACAUCUGAUUAGACUUUGAUCUUAGUUAUAGUCGCUGUUGCUUUAUCUCGGUGAUUACAGCAGUGCCAGCUGAUAUUUCUUGGUUAAUAUAUAUAUGCUGGAAACUUUAAUCCUUUUUAGUCUCGUGAUCGAUAGGCUCCGGCUAGCCUAUUAUUUCAUGUAAAGUUUGAUCUAGCAAGUGUUUGCUUAGCAUAAGCAAAGGUAGGCACACUUGAUAACAUUCAAAGAACGCUUAAAUAUAUAUAUAGCCACAUGCUCACACAUCUUGUUUUUUGCUGAUAGUUUGAUUGCUUAAUGUUUAUAAUGUUUGUAUGCACAUAUCUACACAUAUCUAAGUCUGUUGUUCAAAUGAUAACUUUUUACUUUUUUAGUGUAUUGUCUUGUUGUGUCAUGUUUUUUGUGCUGAGAAUUUAUGUUGAAUUAAACUCCUCUUGUUCAAUAUUUUUCAAUUAUUUUUUGGAGGUAUGUUCUAGUAUGAUUUUAGUUCAUUCUAUUUUUAUGUAUUUAUUUAUUUUUGUGUUUUAGUUUCUUUCCAUUAGUUCUUAUGAUGGUUUGGAAGGAGGGACAAGGUUUAAUGCUACUUACAAUCCCAAAAACUCAAUGAUCUCCUUUGGGACCACCUAAACAUCUAGUUUACUUACUCGGUGAGCCUAGUUUGUGGGUAAGGCUGUAAAAUGAGCAAAUAGUUCGGGCUCAAUUCGUAUCCGAGCUCGACUCGAAAUAUAAAUGAGUCAAAUAUGAGCACAUUUUAAAGUUCGAUAAAUUACUCGAACCUUCUCAAAUUAUAAUUUUCUAUUGAUACUCGGAUUAUAUUCGUUCGAAAAGUUCAAACUGCUCGUGCUCGACUCGAAAUCGUACUCGACUCGGUAGCUAAAUGAGCCUCAAUCAAACCUUAUUUUAUACUUGAUAAUUUUUGUGAACCAAAUCUGAUCAACUCAAUACUCGAUUCGACUCGAUUCGUUUACACCUUUAUUUGUGGGUAUUGCAUGCACCCUAACGCGGAAUAAAAGAUGAGGAUCAAAAGAUUGCUUAAUUAUUACUUUAUAUUAUUUCUUCGGGAUAAAUAAUUUGGUCCUUAAUGUAAAUAUUUAUUACGUAUUAAGUAGGAUAUUAUGUAAUAAUCUAUUAUAAUAAAAUAAAAUUACUAUUUCAAUUUCUUUAUUACUAAAUAAUAAUAUUAACUAACUAACUAAUAAUCUUUCAAGUCCCUUGAAUUGAAUGAUGUGGAACGAAAGAAGAGGAUCAAAAGAUUGCUUUAUUAUUACUUAUUUAAUUUAUAUUACUAUUUAUGGACAAAUAUUUAAGAGGGAGUUUGUUACAGGUUAUUUGAAGUGGUCAUGUUGGAUGCCGGUAAUGUGAGUUGGUCAUCCUAAUAAAUUGUGUUUGUUUCAUUGGUAAUCUUAUAUUUCCUUAAUCACAUAACCGGUAAAGUGCCAAGAUUCCCACCUGAAGUGGGUAUUGGAUGACCAAAAAAUUGGUGGUAAUCUUAGAUUACCACAUCUUGGUCAUCUUGAAAUCUUUCUAUAAAUAAAAAUACCCUUCCUAUUUUAGCAAAUUGGAUAUAGUAUCCUUAUUUACACAUAAUUUAAAAAAAAUUUAUCAAGCAUUCCAUAUAUAUUGACUGCACUCUUCUUUAUUUUAAUAAUUUUGACAUAAACGUUUUAAUGUGUCCUUAUUCAUUUUGUUUUGUUGUUUAUUAUUAUAAACUUAAUAUUGAAUGAUUUGGAACGAAAGAAAAGUAUCAAAAGAUUGCUUUAUUUUUACGUAUUUAAUUUAUAUUACUAUUUAUGGAUAAAUAUUUAAGAGGGAGUUUGUUACAGGUUAUUUGAAGUGGUCAUGUUGGAUACCGGUAAUGUGAGUUGGUCAUCCUAAUAAAUUGUGUUUGUUUCAUUGGUAAUCUUAUAUUUCCUUAAUCACAUAACCGGUAAAGUGCCAAGAUUCCCACCUGAAGUGGGUAUCUGGAUGACCAAAAAAUUGGUGGUAAUCUUAGAUUAACACAUCUUGGUCAUCUUGAAAUCUUUCUAUAAAUAAAAAUACCCUUCAUAUUUUAGCAAAUAGGAUGUAGUAUCCUUAUUUACAUGUAAUUUAAAAAAAAAUUAUCAAGCAUUCCAUAUAUAUCGACUACACUUCUUUAUUUUAAUAAUUUUGACAUAAACGUUUUAAUUUGUCCUUAUUCAUUUUGUUUUGUUGUUUAUUAUUAUAAACUUAAUUUAUUAUUGUACGGUAAUUGACUUAAUUAAUUAAUCUUUAUUAAUAUAUUUAAUAUUGAAUAUAUUAUAAAUUAGAAUUUGCAAAAGUAAUAAACUUUUAAUAUAUUUUAUUAAAUAUUAUUGAAUUAGCUAGUUGGACAGUAUUCAUAUUCUCCAUGCGGAAACUGAGCGAGCAGGUCUGCUAAUGCCUGACAUCUAAUUGCCUUCGGUGUCAUACACUUGAUGUCAUAUUCUGAAAGGAUCAUCAUCCAUCUUGCAGGUCUUCCUACCAACGCUGGUCUAGUUAGCAAGAAUCUGAUCGGGUCAGUUCUCGUUGCAAGUUUCACUUCGUGUGCCAAAAAAUAAUGGCGCAUUUUCUGUGCGACAAACACCAGUGCCAGACAAUGUCUCUCUAAUUGUGAGUACCUGGUUUCUGGUCCUCUGAUUAUUCGGCUGAUGUAGUAUACAGGAUUUUCUUCCCCAUCUACCUCUUGUGUGAUCAAUCCUCCUAUAGACUUUGCGGUAGAUGUGAUAUACAACUGCAAUGGUAUUCCUCUCUGUGGUACUACCAUCAUUUUCGCCAAAGCCAAAAUUUCUUUUACUUUCACGAAGGCUUGUUGUUGGUCCUGCCCCCAGUCCCAUUCUGUCUUUCCCUUUAGCAACUUUUCGAAAAGUUCUGUGACUUCUGCUAAUGCUGACAUGAAUCUCCUCAUGUAGGAAACUUUGAGGCACUUGGCUCCCAAUUCUAUGUGCUAAUGCUGGCAUGAAUCUCCCUUUACUUUGAGGCACUUGGCUCCCAAUUCUCUAGCCGCUAAUAAUCCCAAUAUGAAUGCCUCAUAUUCUGCUUCAUUGUUCGUGCAAAUGAAAUCUAGUUUGUAUGACAGGGCCACUUCCUUUCCUUCUUUGGUAGUUAACACCACACCUGCUCCUCCUUUCCCUUCUGCGGACGACCCGUCAAAGGCCAAGUUCCACCACUCCGAAUCUUCAUCUACCACUCAAUUUUUUCUACGUCUCCCCCUGGAAGAUCCUCUAAGGGAGGUUCAUAUUCUCCAUGCGGAAACUGAGUGAGCAGGUCUGUUAAUGCCUGGCAUCUGAUUGCCUUCGGUGUUACACACUUGAUGUCAUAUUCUGAAAGGAUCAUCAUCCAUCUUGCAGGUCUUCCUACCAACGCUGGUCUAGUUAGCAAGUAUCUGAUCGGGUCAGUUCUCGUUGCAAGUUUUACUUCGUGUGCCAAAAAAUAAUGGCGCAUUUUCUGUGCAACAAACACCAGUGCCAGACAAUGUCUCUCUAAUUGUGAGUACCUGGUUUCUGGUCCUCUGAUUAUUUGGCUGAUGUAGUAUACAUGCUUUUCUUGCCCAUCUACCUCUUGUGUGAUCAAUCCUCCUACAGACUUUGCGGUAGAUGUGAUAUACAACUGCAAUGGUAUUCCUUUCUAUGGUACUACCAUCGUUUUUGCCGAAGCCAAAAUUUCUUUUACUUUCACGAAGGCUUGUUGUUGGUCCUGCCCCCAGUCCCAUUCUGUCUUUCCCUUUAGCAACUUUCCGAAAGGUUCCGUGACUUCUGCUAAUGCUGACAUGAAUCUCCUCAUGUAGGAAACUUUUCCUAGAAAGCUCUUCAACUGUUUCUGCGUUUUUGGUGGGGGCAUAUCUGUAAUAGCCUUUGCGUUGUUUGGGUCUACCUCCAAACCUCUGUUGCGCACCAAAAAGCCUAAAAAUUUUCUAGCUGUCAUCCCAAAGGCGCACUUUUUCAGAUUCAUCUUUAACUUAUACAUGCGACAACGUUCAAACUCCUUUCUUAAAUCCUCUAUGUGGGUUGUCUCCUUUUUAGAUUUCACCACUAUGUCAUCCACGUAGUCCUCCACAAUGUCAGGAAUCAUAUCAUGAAAGAUGACGUGCAUUGCCUUUUGGUAAGUUUCUCCCGCGUUCUUCAACCCGAAUGACAUUACUACAUAGUUGAAAUUCCCAAACGGGGUACGGAAGGCUGUCAUCUACGCAUCCUCUACUGAUAUCUUUAUCUGAUUGUAGCCUACGAACCCAUUCAUGAAUGACAUCAUCUCGUGAUUAGCCGUUGCAUCAACCAAAGUGUCUAUAUUGGGUAGCGGAUACAUGUCCUUUGGGCACGCCUUGUUCAGGUCUCUGUAAUCCACACAUAUUCGCAACUGCCCAUUAGAUUUCUUUACUGGUACGAUGCUGGAUAACCAUAUUGGAUGUUGAAUUAGCUUGAUGAAUCCUACAUCCAACAACUUCUUUAUCUCUUCCUUUAUUUGUGUUUCAACUUCUGGUGCAUAAGUGCGAGGCACUUGCUUCAUCGGUUUAGCUCUCGGGUUCAGAUUAUGCUCUACCAACUCCUUGUCAAUCACGAGCAUCUCAUUAUAGUUCCAAGCAAACACAUCCCUAUACUCUCGUAGUAGCUUCACCAGCUCUUCCUUUUGGUUGGCGUUCAGCUCCUUGUUAAUGUAAGUCGGCUUUGGCGUUCCUUCUCCUGUUGCCAGAUCAACUUCCUCCAAUUCAUUUUGUUGAGGUUUUGGCCGGUCCUCGAAACAUUCUGGAGCUGGUUCCACCUUCUGCUGCACGAUUUCUUCCUUUUCGUUGCUACUGGAGUGGGGGGGCCCUCCUGAGCCCUCAUGUUUAGGUGUACCUUUGAGCUCCUCCCCUUUGCACCGUCACAGGCGAAACACUGUCUUUCCAUCGGGUUUGAUUACUCUUUCCCACUUUGUCUUCUGUUCUUCUUUUCUUUUAUUUACUUUGGGCUGUCCGUUUGGCAUUGAUUAUGUUUCGGGCAUCCUCCGAGUCUGCUGCCCGCUUCCUUGGGUCUUUUUCUUCUUUCUCUACAUCUACUAAUACAAGUUUCUUAUUUUUGAAACACUCACCUUGUUCUAAGGUCUGCUUCUUUUCCUUUUUCACAGGCACAAACUUGUCCUCCUGUAACUCCUCCCAUCUUACUAGCUUCUUACUGAUUUUCUCCUUCUUCGGCGACAUCAUCAAAGAAAGUUGCUUCAGUGAUAUGUGCCUCCUCCGGCCCAAAAGGGUUCCUUGUUGCUGGUACCUUAACCUUAUUGCCUUUCCAAAUUGCCUUCAUGCACUGGUGAAAAACUGAUGGUACCACCCCAUAAUCAUUCUGCCAGGCUCUUCCUAGCAACACAUGAUAUGCUGCGUCAACCUCUGCUACAUAGAACAUCACAGGUCCUCGGAUCUUCCCCACUUACAUAUCCACCUUGAUGUAUCCGAGGGUUCUCGUGCUUUGAUUAGUGAACCCUGUGAUGUUAGUCUUUUCCUUCACGAUCUUCUUCUCUGGCAUACCUAAAUGUUUAAAGACGGUGUAGGGCAUGAUAUUUACAGAUGCUCCAUUAUCGAUGAACGCUCUCCGCACUUCUGUGCCAUUAAUUAUUGCUGUCACAUAUAGUGGUUUAUUAUGUGGAUAUCUUACCUCUCUAUCAGCCUUAGAGAAAGUGAUUUUGUUCUCUUCCUCCACCGUCUUCACAAACCCUUUGCUGAUUGUCAUGCAAGUCUCUUGUGCUUUGGCAACUUUGAUGAUUGCCUUGGUCGCUUCUAUCCUUGCUUCCUUGGUCAAUCCGAUCUGAUCGAAAAAUUUCCUGAACUUAGCUCCGUUCAUCAACGCGGUCACCUGCAGACCUGGAUCAGAAACGUCCUUCAUCAUUUCUGUGUUCUCCAUCAUCUCCACUUCUCUUCCCUUUGGUGAUUCACUAUGAGUAAUAGUAUUGCACGUUUCUUUCCCCUUGUGGUUCGGAAGUGGCUUGUCCAGCACGUUGUUUCUUCCUCCCGGUUCGAUUUCUCCUGCCACCAAUUUCUCAUGGUAGAUCCUUCGUAGACUGUAACAAUCUAUAGUGGAAUGUCCGGCGUACUGGUGGUAUACACAGAAGUCUGGUCUCCUCUUUAUCUCUUCUGUUACAACAAAUCUGGGCCUUGGAGGUUUUACAACUCCAUGUUCUACCCAUUGCUCGUACAAAUCCCUGAAUGCCUUCUCACUGCACGUAAUAGCCCCUGGGAUUGGCAAUCUCGAAAACUUGUCUCCUGGUUUUCCAUGGUUCCUUUCAUUCUUUCCACUCUUUUCCCUCUUGGCCCCUUGUGGCUUUUGCUGAGAAUCUGUUAAAGCCACAGUAACAGUUCUUUUACCCUUCCACGUAACAGUCGCAUGGCUUGCGGGUAAAGUCAUAAUUCCUCCGAAGUCUUGUGCAAAUGUUGAGAGUGUUGCAAAGGAAUCACAUGCUUUAGUGACCAAGUGGGGCUUGAAGGUAUUUAGGGCACCAUUGUUGCAUAUGCUCACUAGAUUCUUCUCCUCAAUCGGCUCUACACAUUUUUGCGCCUGAGCCCUGAAUCUGUCUACGUAAUCUGACAUUUCCUCAUUUGGCUUUUGUUUGAAUCUCAUUAGCUCCACGAUGGUCACCUGUUUCUGCAUAUAGAAAAACUUCUUUAAAAAUUGUAACUUCAAAUCAUCCCAAUCUUGGACUGACCCUUUCUUUAGAUUGUAGUACCAAUUGAAGGCACUAUCUGUCAACGUUUUACUGAACUCACGGAGCAAAAGGUUGUGGUUGAUUACUUCAUCAUAACCCAACCACGGAGACAUCGACUCUACAAACCUGGCUAUAUGUUCUCUCACAUUCCCUUUCUCUCCAUUGUACUUCGAAAAUUGUGGCGGGUGCUCAAUAUACCCUGCUGGGUAAGGCUGUCUCCGUAUAUGUGUUGGGUAUGGUGGAGUGAAGUCCAAUUCUGAUGGUCUGGUUGUCUGUCUUCGGAGUUGAUUGAUUACGUCAAACAUAUCAUCCUUUGUCACAUACUGACUUGUUGUAUGGACUUUCUGAGGGGUUACAAUGUAUUGUUGCGCUGGCGGUGUAUAUGGUAAGGAGAUCGGCUGACAUCAUUCAAAGGUUGCAUUUGUACUUGUUGGCUUGUUCGUUGGGCGUGGCUCGGUAUAGUCGGUAUCUUCACUUGUGAAAAUACUUGGAGUGUGGUGAGAAUGAUGGUUGGUUGAGGCUGGCUUGUUUCCACUCUGGGUUGUGGUACAUCACCACUUUUUUGGGGCUCUAAAUGGAUGAUUGGAAUCGGCUGACUCUCCAUUGCUGGAGGCACAUUCUGAUUUUCUUUGUUGACAUCCACUCCUGCUCGUUCUACCUGCGAACUUCCUGGAAACAUAGCUUUGAAGGUUGGAAUCUGCAUUAACUGUUGACGAAAAUUUCCCAUCUCUUCCUGUUGCUUCCGCAUUUCUGACAUCAUGGCCAUCAUCAUCCCUUGUCCUUCUUUUGCCUCCUUUAAGGCCUUGAGCAUCUCCAACUGCACAACAUUCGUGGUUAUUUGUUCUCUACUUGCUUCCUCACCUUGUCUUCUUGUGCCCAUCUGCCUGACAUUGAUUUGUUGUUGAUCAGUCAUAUGUGGUGAUAUUGAACUUCCUUCAGAAGUGUCUUCUACGAGGGGUUGAUCGAGAUCCAGAUUCAUGCCUUGGAAAUGUUGAUUUGUUUGCCUCGGAACCGGAUUCGGAUCCGGUGAAGUAAUGCUAGGUGUCGGUGAAACUCUUCCUAUAGUUCUUCCACUUCGAGUCGUGGGCAUACCCUUCACGAAUUCUACACCUCCCCAGCAGAGUUGCCAAAUAAAUGUGGGUAAGAAAACCGUACCUUACUAGGGUUAGGGUUUCGUGUUGACUGAGGAGGAGAGAAAUUCGCAAAGAGUACGGUCUUGAUUGAGUGGUUGAAGAUGGGAGAAGAACAGGUAAGCGAUUACUUGAGUAAUACGUGGCAAAACUCUUAGGAUUCAAGAGCCUUCUUCAAAGUCUUCAGUUCAGAGAGAAUCAAAAAGUCCCCUUCUAUUGAAAUGAAGGGGAUAUUUAUAGAGUUUCAUGGAAAAUGGUCACGUGCCUGGCACUUGUCUGGGUCUUGUGCAUGGCAUGUGAUUUUAGCAGAAAUUCCAGAAAUACCGUUAGUUACUUAAGUAAUGCCUAAAUCAUCCUGUCCUUCUAGCCACCAAUCCAAUCCCUCAAUCAAUUCCCAAAAUGAGUUGCCUCCAUGAGCCUUCUGCCUCGGGACACGUGGCGGGUUCUCCCGGUUCAUUUAAUUCUUCUUAGAUCACACGUGAACCCUAAUUUGUACUCGGACUCAUAGUGUGUAAUUCUCUAUCGAUUCUUUGUACGGAUAGGUAUUUUAUUCCGUCUUCCCACCAAUUGUCCUAUUAUUUGUAUUAAGAGUCAAAAUUCUGGAUAUCUUUGUUGUCACCGAUUUCUUCCUACUCAAUUUUUUUGGUCUUCGCACAACACUUUGUUGAAGUUAGCUAGAGGAUCGACAAAAAGUUUCUCGAGAUGCAAGCAUGAUUUGCAGUAGGUGUCGACAUUGACGUAGCAGUCUCAAUCUAUCCCAAAAAGAAAAAAAAGUCAAAAAAGGUGUGGGAAAAGAAAAUACAUAUAUGCAAUGUCGUUUUUCAGGUUUGAUGAUCCAAACCUUCUUUUGGCUAAGACUAAACAAUUUGAGUGUCAAAUUUCUUUUUCGUUCAUGCAGAAGGUUUAAUCUAUAUGGCUUAAAGUAUUAGAAAUUGUGCGAUGACUUAGGAUUCGUUUGGUAACUGAUUUUGUCUUCAUGUUUUUUCUUCUUAUUUUUGUUUUUAUAUGUUUCUACUUUUACUUGUUGUCACUAUUAAGAACAAAAAUCAGGUAACAUUGUUUUAUAACUAUAUUGAAAUGCUAGUUUUUUUUUAUGAUGUAAAGUUUGAAAUUUUAUUGGUAAUAAGAUUCGAUGGACCUCAUAAGAGUUGGAUUGACUACUUGUGUUGCCAAAAUUGAAUAAGUAACUUUUUUUUUGUUUUCACUUUUUUGCUGCCGAAGUGAAUUUUGCUUCCACUUAAUUCAAAACAGAAACAGUUACCAAACAACGUUUUUUGUUGUUGAUUUCAAAAAAGGAGAAGUAAAAACAAAAUUUGUAAGCAAAAACAGUUUCUAAACGGAACCCUUAGCAUCCUUGAAAACAAACCUUAAAGAUUUAAAGAAUCAUUACUAGUCUGUACCACAUGCUAUUCUCAUCCAUAUUUUGUUCAAGGUCACUUACAUGUUGAAGUUUACAAGAUGGAAGACGCAAACAAUGAGGGUGUUCAAGUUGAAGAUCCAAAGAUGGCUAGUUAUGAAGAAUUAGGUUUUGAGGAUGUUGCGGCUGAUUUGAGACCUAAAAGUGGUUUGCAAUUUUUUUUUUUCCAGAGGCUAUUUAAGUUGAUGUGGAGGUUGAACACAAAAAGGAAGAAACUAUUGAGUAGAAAAAUAUGUUAAUUUUGUCUUUUCAGAUGUUACUUUUGCGUCUCAUGUUGCUUCAAAGUUUUCAUUAUGCUGCUAGUCCCAAAAAUUGGGCUUAUGGUAUUGGACAAUGGGAUGCACAUGUUUUAUUGAGGACAUUUCCCUGAUUGUGAUUUAUUAUUCUUCGAUAUUAUAAAACUUUAAAUCAAGUUUUUUUCAAUGGCGGGGAGAAUGAUGCGGAACAGAAGAAGAGGAUCAAAGGAUUGCUUAAGUAUUAGUUUAUAUUAUUAUUAGAUUUAUAUUUUAGUGAUUAAUGUACUUAUUCAUUACUUAUUACGUAGGAUAUUCUAAUAAUUUUAAUUAUAGCAGUAGAUUUUAAUCCAGAGAGUUGUAAUUAUAGUAAUAGAGAGUUAGGAGAUUAUUUUCUAUUUAAAUUAAGGUUUUUACUUGGUCACUAAGUCAGAGGUUUCGUAUAUAAGGAAUUAUGAUAUUUAUUAUUUUUCAAACUAUUGAUAUAUUGAUUUGAGAUUAAAGCUUCGUGCGUUUUGUGUGUUUCUCUAUCAAUUCUCUUCUGGGAUAGGUACUUUUAUUCUUUUUCCCGCCUUAUCCUACAUCACACCUGGUGGUUGGCCACACCAGAGUACCCUUAUUAGGAGAAAGAAGAAAUCUUUGUCUAGAAAUUUGUUGCAUCUUCUGUUCUCUUUUGUUGUGUUGUUUUCAUUGUUCUUCAUAUUUGUCAUUUUUGAUAAUAUUUGCAACACCUUUUUUAGAGAGUGCAUUAUGGAUUUUAAUAUGUGUCAAGAGUAUAUCUAAAUAUUAUAUGCUUAAAAUAUUUAUAAUACUUCCUCCGUUCCAUAUUAUUUGAUCAUUGUUGACUUUUUGAAGUCAACUUCAGAGAUUUUUAAACUCAAAAUUGACAUUGGUUCUUUUUAUUUUAAUCAAUACAAUGAUGAAUAUUAUAAACUAUCUUAAAAGUAUUACUCAUUACAAAUUUUAUUGUUUCAUAAUUUUUAAUGAGACAUCUCAAUUUUGACUUUGAAAAUGUCUCAAAUUGACUUUCAAAAGUCUAUAAUGAUCAUAUAAUUUGGAACGGAGGGAGUAUAAUUUAAAAUAUAACAUUUUAAUGUGUCACAAUAUAUAUAAAAGUAUAUAUUCUAAUUAUGAUUUCGGAAUGUCUUAAAAUCCGUGCUAUACACCCUAAAAAUAGAGUUGCAAAUAAUGUGGGAUGGAGUAUUACAUUUCCUUUUUGUUUUCUUUUAUUUUUCAAUUUCUUUCUGCCUUGGGGUGGUAGGUUGAUUACAUGAAUAUCCACAAAGAUGUAUUACAUUUAGUUAUCUAAGAUUGAUUCUAACAGAUUCAUUUUUACCAUUUAACAUGAGUACUGUAAUUUUCCCCAAAAGACGGCUUGAAUUGUUGCAAACUUUCCACCAUUGAUUGAGUGGACUGCAACUCAUUGAAUUGUUCUUGUUAUGCUUGUGCAUGGUUCUUAAUAUCGUUAUCAUGAUCAGAAAUGAUGGCAAAGGAUCCACCUUUGAGUGUUAUCAAUAUGCUAUUUGGAUUAGGUGGAUAAUUUUUACAUGGUAUAAUUUUUAUACAUGCUGAUGCCACAUAUAUGAACCUCUCAUUCUUUGCACCAAAAAUAAAAAUAAAAAUGAACCUCUCAUUCGAAUUCAAUGCUCUUCUAUUCAAGUUGUUUGCAUAAUUGUAUUACUCAGUUUGGUCUCAACUUCAUAAUACACUUAUUAUGGGUCAAAUAUUAUCUUUCCAUUUUGAAAUUUAUCAGUAAUUGCAGCCAUGCAUAGUAUAGCAGUUUUUUUUUUCUCAAGUGUUUGUAUAUAUAUGAUAGAUUUGGCAUAUCUGAAAUAUUCUUGGACCAGCAGGAUGAUGAAGAGAGUCAAAUUGAGUCUCUGAAACACUUCUUUAGUACGUAGUUUGGACUUUUUACUAGUAUACCAUUUUUUAUCUCCUUGAUCAGGAGGGUAGUUGCUCUAGACAUUAUAAAAACUCCCAUGAAAGAUCCAAAAGUGCUAUCAAGGAUUCAAACCAGUUAAUUAGCACUAAGAGAUGUUGAGAUCAUGCUGAAGUUUUUUCUUUGAUACUGAUACCAAUUAUGACAAAGGCCAGAUAUUAUCACAGUGGCUAGAAUAGAAAGUCCUUUCUACUUCAUCACCUCUAUGGCAUCAUGUGAUGCUUGAGAUUAUGGAAUAUGAAUGAUUUCUUUCCUUCUAGUUGAAUUAAUUGUAGGUCCUACUUUUUGGUAAUCGCUGCCGUAGUUGCUUCCAUGUGUGAUAGUCAGGUUCAACUUGAAAGAUAUAUUAUCAAAUGCAGAGUUCUUCCGGUGUGGUAGAAUUCAAUUGUGGUGUCUAUUUUGUUUUUCCUCUAUAAGGUUAUUUAUUUAUUUAAGUUAAAAAUUUCAUUUAUAAAUAAAAUCUGCCAACAAGGUCAUCAGAGUUGGUAGUAACCGUUGUUUUCUUUCAUAUAAUAUAGUGAUUACACUGUUUUCUGUACUUUUUUCCUUUAUUAUUCCGUAUUUGAAAAUAUCAUUUAGUAAUUUGAAACGUAAUAAACUAGAAUUUGAGGCAACAAGGAAAGAAAAAUAUUGCUCUAUACUGUUAAAUUUGAAAAAAAUAUUGGAGAGAAUUAAUGCAAUGCUAUCCAAGUAAGAAAAGGUUAUUUGGGUCGGGUGCCGGAGCAGGUUAAACAGUAAGAGACUCCCUUUUCUUUAACUGCUACAGUGCUACUUAGCUUCGCUACCUCACUCUUAUACAUUCGAAUAAUAGUAGGGCACCUUUUAUUCAAUUCUAUCAACUAGCAUUCUAUGUGCCCUUCAUUUUCUACCUUCCUUUACCAAGUAACGAUAAUAAUGUCAUGUUCCUUGUACAUAUGAACCUAUGACGAAAUCACAAAUCCUUUUCCAUGAAAGAUACUGGUUUUUUAAUCCGUUAAGAAUUUGAGUUUCCUACUUUCCUAAUUCAUUAUUUGGUUUUUGUAUUAUAUUACCAAUUUGUGAUUUCGUCAUAGGUUCUAUAAGGUCCUUAUUGUCCUAUUGGAUAAAAUUAAACAAGGCGUUAAGAGCACAGGGAAAAAACCCUUGCGAGUAAGAGAGUCGGGAAAGUAUAGAUUCUCAAAGGAGUGGACUUGUGAGAGGUUGUUCAUGGUUGAUGGCAAGCACAAAUGCGCAACCGUUGUUUUGUACCAUAAAUUCUUCAAGUUUAGUGAAGAUGAUUAUUUUCAUGGAUUUAGGCAAGUUUGGCACGUUAAGUUUCCCCUAGCUUAAGCUUUUAGGGUAGUUGGUAACUUAAAAUGGUAUUAGAGCUCUAAGUAUGCAAGGUCUUCGCUUCAAGUUUUUCCGUUUGCUAUAGGUUCCCCCCUUGCAUUUUUGGUGCAACACAGUGGGGGUUGUAUCGGGAGAAGCGAUCUGUCUAACAACUUGCUUAACCAUUUGAGUAGUUGGUGACUAAUAUUUGUUUUCUAAUUAAGUUUUCGAGCUUUAGUUUGGCUGUAUCUUUCCUGAUUUGCAGUACACUGUUUGAAUCAGGGUAAGUAGUGGAUCUGCUUCUCACAUUCCAUAAAUAGCCGACACAUAUCCAGGGUAAGUAGUGGAUCUGUAUAGUUCUACUCUUUUUAUUUUACGAAAGGAUAAAUCCCAAAGGGUCGAUCUUUCUUUUAGUUGUUGACUCUCUCUUUGAUUUAUUAAUGCACGAUAUUCCGAAUUUUCAUUACUAAUGUAUCCAAAGGAUCUGUAUUUAAUUCAUAGUCGUCAUGGCGUCGCUUAGGCGACGAUUAGGCGUCCUGACGCUAGAGAAGGAAAAGGUGACGCCUUGGACGCUGAGUUGUCAAGGAUCACGCCUUGGUAGUUGGCCCAAUAGUCAUUUUGUACCCAUAACUCUUCAACCCAUGGACUUGCUAUAUUGUGUAAUUUUAUUACCUAUUAGACUUGUUAUGUGUGAUGGUUAACUUGGUUGAUUCUUUAAUUUUUACAUUGUGUUUGUUGACUUGUUCUACUAGUUUUCAAUUUUAAUUGUUUUAUUUUGAAUUUGUGAAAUAUUCAUAUAAUUAUAUUUUUAAUUGGAUUCCAUAGUGUUAGUUAUGAUGUUUUUGAGUUUUAAUGUAUAUAAAAUUUUAUUGUUCAAUAUACUUUUUAAGUAAAAUAAACAAAUGUAUAAAUUGCAUAUUGUUAACGACUUGUCACCAUACGGACGCCAUGGCGGGUGCCUUAUCGCCUAGCGGUCAACUACCGCCACGUCUCGCCGUGACAACUAUGGUAUUUAUUGGAACAUCCUUUCAAUUGGCAAGAGCUCCUUACUUCAAUGAAACUAGAUAAUGUUUGUUUCAUAUUUAAUAUUUUUUGACAACACAUUCUGUAUUUGUAAGAUAUGUGCACUGAUUGUCUGGUCAGUAGAGUUUUUUCCGUUGUUAAGAAGUAUAUAUCUUGCCUUAUUAUGUUUAGAAUCACUUCAUUUGGCUAAUUGAUUUCUGAUUCCAGAUUCCAGAAGUCUAUCAUGUUAUCUUGCCACUUCUGGAAAGCAAAACUAUUUUUUCCUUUAUAUAACCUUUGUAGCACUUGAUAUUUUUUUAUAAGUAUCAUUGUGACUCGUAUUAGGCCAUAUAUCUCUGUCUUUUUUACCCUAACCUAGAUAGUUUUAUCUCGGUCACUAUUUCUCCUAAAUUUAAAGCAUUGGCAGUGUUUGAAUAUGUUAGUGACUUACAUCUAUAUUGCGAGACUAUGUUUGUAAGCCAAUAGAUCUUCUGGUUCUUACAGAGUAACAAUUGUUGAUGAAUUUCUGUACAAGUUAAUGCAUAAUUAGCUUUGGUAUUCUUGAUUGAGGAAAUCCUCUUUUCUUUUCUUUUUUUUUGUUCUUUUGUGAUCCAGACAUUUAUAAAUAUUUAAAUUUCUGUGAGAUAUUGCUUUCUUUGUCCGCAGAAUGUGUCCCUUACGUAUCUACUAUGAUCUACUAUAAUUUGUGUUAUGUAUGGAACAUGAAUAAUAUAAUUAAAUGGACCAAUCUAAUAGAUGAUGAUUCCUUGUUGAAUAUUUAGAAGGUUUUCAUUUUAUUACUUGAGUUGCAUAUUUUUUUCCCAGGUUUGAAAAAUGGAUUGAUUUUGACUCUGACUAUCCUAUUUCAUCUCUCCAUCUUAUUUUUUUGUGAUUUAUAUGCCUGUUCCUUUCUUGUUUAUCUGGUUGUCCACGAGUUGCGACUUGUGUUUUUUGGUCUUUGUAGGAUAGAUUGAAGUGCUGAAAAUAGGACCCUGUGAUGGCUUUAUUCUCGAAUAUGGAGUCAUGAAAAUAACAAGGUAGACUUCCAAUAAAAUCCCUCGGCAUCAUUUUUCUGAAUAGUUAUCUGGAUGAAUUAUUGUAUAAGAUGCUAUGUUCUGGGUUGAAAGUAGCUCGCCUGUCUGCUGAUUAUUUUGAUUAGUCUCAGUUAUGUUGUAAAUGCUAUUCUGAAUUGUCUUUUUGCAUGAUCAGUAUUCUUUUAGUUUACCUGCAAUGCUUUUGGUGGCGUUGUGAUUAACCAUAUGCUUAUGUACAUUUAUUUCUUUAAAUGGAAAUUUUAUAUGAAAAUUCCAGAUGGUGCUUUCAUAGCCAAUUGUCCAUCACAGGCAUUAUUGAAGAAAAUAUAAAGACUAAAGAACAUCUUAAACAUGCAAUGAUUGACUAUUUCUGUUAUUACUUGUAACCUUGACUAUAUGUACAUAGCUGGUUUCUUUGGAAACCUCACAUUGUCAAAGUUGAUUCCAUUAAUUAGUCAAAUCAAAGUCUUCCUUCUGAACAGUCUGUGGUUUAUGUACCACUUCUCAUAAUAGAAGCAUGUCUUAAUAAUCAUGGGGCCUUUCGCUAACAAGGAAUCAAUGAAAACCCUUCUUGGGUGAUCCAUUGGCUCUUUAAUGCAGUUGUAGUCUGCACAUUGUUCACAGAAACAAGUAUUUGAUUAAGAUACUAGUGAAAUUUUAGGUAUAUAUGUAACGAUGCGAAUCAGAAGUUACCCCAACUUUGUAGCCUGUGUUGAUGUUUCAUAGUCUUGUUGCUGUGGCUGACAGAGCUGGAGAUGGACAGGUGCAUGUGGGUCAUCGCCAAUGCUUAAUCCAUUUGUGAGAAGUGCAUUUCUGUUUGUUCCAUCUGCAUCUCUUGUUCUGUAAACCUGGGAUGAAAAAUUAUUUUUGUUUCUAUACCAAUACUUUCAUGUACAAUUUCAUUUUUCAUGAAGAAUUAGGUUUACCUUCCUAUACAGUUCCACAUUUUCUUGGUGCAUGCGGUUUCCCUGCAACAAAGUAAUUGAAAUUUAGCUACUUGUAUAUAUGUUUUUGGCUCAGAUGUAGAGAGGACUGUCGAUGACCAUAGGUUAUAGUGUUGACCUUUCUGUUUAGUUCCUCUAUUUCAUCCAUUAAAAUUUGGUCCUACAUAGAAGAUUAUGUUAAUGCACAUGUUGCAAUGUAUAGAACGUCAUAGGAUGAGAAUCAAAUACGGGAUUAGAGUUUUAUACCUUUCUCAUGCGGACACCCCGAAGGCUCAUUUCCAGUUUGCUCCCCAAAUUCUUCAAAUCUUUCAUGCUCAAACCAGAAAGCUCCUCACCCAUCAUUUGCCUGUAAUUAUCAGAUGAAUAUGUAGAAUGAGUUCAUUAGUUAGUGUGUUUCCUAGUUUCUUUAGUACCAAUAUUGAUGCAAAUUUAUGAGAUGUUAGAGACCCAUCUGGUCCAACAAUUGAUCUUUUUGUUCUCCAAAGAGGGAGGUACUGGUAUCUACUAAUAGGCAGUAGCUGUUGUGUAUAACUUUAAAAUGUGAUAAAAACUUGCAUAUGAAAUGAGAGUCUACCUUUUUGGUUGACAUUUUUCCCCAGAAUGUUAAAAGUUUGCACAUAACAAACUUGGAGAAAAGUUCUAUAAUAUUUUUACCAGUAAUAAAUUUUAGUUUUAAAAGCCAGGAUUGAAAACAAAAUCAACCAGAAAAAUUAAGCAUAUCUUUUACAAUCAUUGAUAAUUAAAAAAAUUAGGACUCAUUUCCAGGCAUUGUCUGUAACACCCCAGUCCCACAUCGAAAGAUAGGGGAAAAAUUUGUCUGCAUAUAAGAAAAUAAGUUACUACCAAUAGUACCUUCAAGUCAUGACCUUUUGGGAGCCUGUGGUGGGCUAAGAUAACCCAAGAAGAUACUAUUGUGCCAGUAGUUUGAGGCCUUAUUUUGAUGGAUUUGAUUCGAUUCAGACUUGGGAUUUGACCCGAGAUUUAUUUCGGACUCGAGAUUUGACCCGGGUUGUUUCAUAUGGUAUCAGAGCCGACUCUCGAAAGCUCGGGUCGGGUCAUCCGAUCGGGUUGCCGGAGGUGGAGACAAGAAGAUUGGUGGUAUUAUUCCACAAUGGAGACAUGGAGGUCCGGAGGUGGGGACACGAAGCCAACCGGUAUUAUCCCACAAUGGCUAGAGAGGCAAAGAUCUUUGGGCCGUGUGUGUGAUCGGAUUCUGACGGGGAUGUCAGAAAUUUAAGUGGGGGAGUUUGUAACACCCCAGUCCCACAUCGAAAGAUAGGAGAAAAAUUUGUCUACAUAUAAGGAAAUAAGUUACUACCAAUAGUAAUUUCAAGUCAUGACCUUUUGGGAGCCUGUGGUGGGCUAAGAUGACCCAAGAGAUACUAUUGGGCCAGUAGUUUGAGGCCUUAUUUAGAUGAAUUUGAUUCAAUUCGGACUUGGGAUUUGACCCGAGAUUUAUUUCGGACUCGGGAUUUGACCCGGGUUGUUUCAUUGUCAGUGUUAAUUAAACGAGGCAUGACUAUGUAUAUGGAUUAUAUUGGCCAGCUAAGUGUCAUGCUCAAAAUUGUUUUUUUAAAUUGCGGGCAAACUAUUUCUUAUUUUUCAUAAAUAUACAAUAUGUAAAUGAUAGUGAAUGGUUUCACUAAGUAUUCUAUUGUUCUUUCAGACAAUUUUUUCUAAUUAUUCUUGCUGGCUUUCUAGCUUCAGCAUGGUUGUAGGAUAAGACAAAUGCCUGGCCUAGUUAAUGACUUAAAAGUUGCUUUGAUCAGGACUCUAAAAACAUGAUAGACAUAAAAAAAUAAGUAAUUGUUUGUACAAAUGUCGAUUUAUCCCUUUUGGUUUACCUCGAUGGCAAAUAACCCCCUUAUGCUAAAUAAUCAGAUACUUAAUACACACAUAUUUCGAUUAAAGUGCAACAAUUAACAUUCCAUCAAGUUUUUAGAUGGAAAACUAAAAAAAAGUUUUAUUUUUAUUUAUUUAUAUAUAUUUUUCACUUAAAAGUUGUUUGUAUUUUCCAUCUAAAAGUUACAGAACGUUAACCGUAGCACAUUGGUCCAAGAUAUAUGGGGGGUUAUGUGCCUGAGUUGGAGCCACAGAAGUGCUCUUUGCUAUCGAUGUAAAGCACGGGGGUAGCUUUUCAUUUACCUAAAGAGUAAGAGAAAAUUCUAGUGUCCUAGUAAAAAUUCAGUCAUAAUUCUUAUUUGGGAUGAAUUGGUUUGUGUUGAGAAUUAUAGAAGAUUUGUUAACAUGUGAGCUAGGGUGUAGAAACCUUUGAAGAGAAAACGAUUUAUGGCCUUCAUUGUAUCACAUAAUUGAGAUAGAAGCAAAGGAGCGAAAAAGGUGUUUUAAAGGGGCCGAAGUUCACUUGUGUAAUUUGGUUUGAUAUGUUUAGUUUUUCUUCCUCCUCCCUCCCUCCCUCUCUCGCAUGGAAAAUUACUGAAAGAGGUGUAGAAUGAGUCCAAGGCCCAAUGAUUUAAUCUUUUGGGUAAAGUUGGGCUUCUGAAAUGUGUCUUGGGCUUUCUUGCAUGUGCACAAGCGGCAAAUGUCCAUCUGUCUCCUAACCAUUUGGUAUCGGAGCUAUUGCAAAUAGGUGCUAGGAUUCCAAGCACACUGAUUUUGGGAGAUCGGGGGGAGCUAACACAUAUGGUUGUUCUUGGAGCAGGUCAUGUUAUUGUGGUCCUUUGGUGGAUUAGGGCGUGGGAUGCAUGUGAGUUACUUGGGUUCUUGGUGAAACAAGUGGAGUUGGAAUGCACCAACGGUAUUUUAUCACGAACCAGUUACGGUAGGCUGAAAAUAAAUUUGUAUGAAAUCAUAAAAGUAGAAAAAUGAAGAGAGAAAAGAUCAAAAUGAACAAUAAAAUAUAAUAAAAGAAUAAAAAUUAUGUGAAAAUAAGUUAAAAAUAUAAUUAAAGAAAUAUAAAAGAAACAAUAAAAAUACACCCGCAUAUAAGGCUCUUUGUAAACCCCUCCCACUCACCUGCAUGGCCGCAUAUAAGGCUCUUUAAAAACCCCCGAAUCGGUUUUUAUAUGCAGGUUGAAUUCUUCCAUUUGCUCCUACCACAACCGUAUCCUCAAUUAUGUUUUGUCCCUUUAAGGCUCUCUGUACAACCUUCUCCAAAGUAAUCUUCUGUCUACCUACCCCUCCCGUUUCUUAUAUCUUCUUCCUGGUACAAGACUCCCCUUCUCACUGGUGCAUCUAUAGGUUGACAUUGGAGAUGACCAUACCAUCUCAUUGAUCUCAACUAAUGUUUCCUCUUCUCUUCAGAUGCUGAUACUCAAAAAUUCCCCACAUAUCCUCAUUUCGGAUCAUAUCUAACCUUGUAUCUCCACACAUCCACCUUAACAUUCUCAUUUCAACAACCCCAUAUUGUGCUCUUGUUGUUGCUUGGCACUCAACAUUCAACUCCAUAUAGCAUCACUAGCCUCACUGCCAUUCCAUAGAACUUUCCCUUCAACUUGGCUAGGAUCUUACGAGCGCACACCACCAUCAAUGCAAGAUAAACUUUCCCUUCAACUUGGCUAGAUUUUUACGAUUAGAAAACACCAUCAAUGCACCAUGUCACUUCACCCACCCCGCUUUAAUCAUUUGGCUUACAUCCUCAUCAACAUCUCCCUUUUAUACAAUAUUGAUCUUGUUAGUAGAUAUAUGUUAGCAUAUGCAUGUAAAUGUUAGUAAUGUUAGUAGCAUAACAUGCAACAUACUUUUAGGCUUAAACAUUUUAUGUUUCCUAGUUUAAUCUUUAGAAUAUGGGCUAUCCUAAUUCUAUAAAUGUAGCUACUUGUUAUAUGAAAAAAGAUAGAAAAUACAUUAUUUACAUGGUAUCAAAGCAAGGUCCAUAACAAACCUGCAUUUUUUAUCUUUCUUCUUGCCCUGUUUCUCGCUCUUCCAAUAGAAACCUUGCAAGAUUAGUUUGUUUUGAGAAAUUAAACCCAUAUUAAGAAUCUAUAGUAUUAGGCGACCUGAUCGGAGUUUUCAAUUUUCUGACCCACUACCGCAUGCGUCUCCACACACCACCCAUGCACCUUACCUUCGCCGCCACGCGCCAUCAGUGACUGGUGCGUGAGACACUUUCCGACGACUUUUUCCGGCGCGAUCUCUUCUAGUUUGGUCGUUUUCUCUCCUCUUUCCAUCUACAGUGGUCGUAUUAGCAAAAUUCAGGUUUGUCUGGUGUUAGGCUUCCUGUUAGCUCUGUUAGUUCGUUUGGCCACUGUUAGUUCCUUAAAGGCUUAUUGUUGCAAUUGGUACUUACUGUGCCUACUGGUAGUUUUAACAACCAUGCCUAUUCAAGCAGGUGUGGCCCAAAAAGAAUGAAAAUCUGAUAACUCCAUGGUAAAAACAUGGACUUUUAACUCAAUGGAACCCAGUUUGAGGAGUAGUUACAUGUUCUUAGACACGACAUAUGAACUUUGGGAAUCUAUCUGUCAAACCUCUGUUUCUGGUGAUAUGUCUAAAGCAUAUGACAUCCGUAAACGAAUCCAAGAGCUUGUCACGGGGAGAAGCCUGUGGCACAAUAUUUUGCAGAGAUUAAUGCACUUUGGCAGGAACUCGAUCAUUACCGGGUUUUUUCAGUCAAAUGUCUAGAAGAUACAACUGUUUACCAAAAGUUUGUUAAUGAGGAUCGAGUUGUUAAUUUAUUGGUUGGUUUAAACAUUGAGUUUGAUCAUGUUCGAGCACAGUUGAUCGGUCAGACACCUUUUUCAUCACUGCGAGAGGCUCAUGCUGGAGUCCAACAAGAUAAAAGUAGACGUCGGGUGAUGGUUCUAAAUCUAAAUCCUGUUGUCAGCCCUGGUUGCUUCAUAUCCUAAGCUUUGCUUCCCCAUUCAGUCUCCUGUUGAGAAGGAGUCCCGCGAAUGUGAUUAUUGCAGGGGAAAUAAUCAUACUAGGGAUCGAUGCUCCCAGUACUUCAGAAACUACUACUUCACUUACUCUCGAGGAAAUUUCAACUUUUCGAAAAUUAUGUUCCAAAUCUACUCCUUCUCAUUAUGUCCAGUCAUGUAUCCAUUCUUGUGCCUUUUUUGUUUCAUCAACUUGCACUAGUUGGAUUAUUGACACAGGUGCCUCCGAACAUAUGACUGGGUCCUCAAACGUCUUUACUUCAUAUACGCCUUGCUCUGGAAAAGACAAGAUUCGAUUAGUUGACGGUUCCCUAUCUUCUAUAUCCGGGCGUGGUUCUGUAUUUUGUACUCCUUCAUUAACAUUAUAAUCUGUUCUUCAUAUUCUUUUGUUUACUGCAAAUUUAUUAUUUUUAACGCCUUUUUGAAUCUCUACACUGUUCAGUAACCUUUUUUUCCAAAUCAUUGUGUUUUUCAGGACUUGGUGACGGGGCAGACGAUUGGGAGUGGUAGUGCAGUUGGUGUUCUUUAUUACCUAGAUGUUCUCUCGUCUAACAUGUCCUCACUCAGGUUCUUCACUCUACUUCUGACUCUAGCCCGACCUCUCUUCAUCAAUGGCAUCAACGCUUGGGACAUCCAUCUUUUUCAGUAUUGGAGUCUUUAUUUUCAUCUUUAGUUAAACAAUAUAACAAAACUCAGUUUUUGUGUGAACCAUGUGAAUUCGGUAAACACAAACGUUCGACCUAUUCUGAUAUUAACCCUCUCGGGUUGUUUCCUGUUCUGGUUUUAGAUGAUUUGUUAGCUUUAUUGAUUGUCAUUCUCGUGUCACUUGGAUUUAUCUCUUGCGUUCCAAAUCUGAGGUAUUUGUUUGUUUUCAGGACUUUCAUGAAAUGAUUCAAACCCAAUUUAAUGCCAAAGUCAAAAUUCUCCAUAGUGAUAAUAGUCGUGAAUAUAGCAACAAUCAUGUUUUUGAAUCUUACCUCUCUCAACAUGGCAUCAUUCUUCAAAUCUCCUGUGUCAAAACUCCAGAACAAAAUGGAGUGACGGUUACUAGAAGUUACCCGCACUCUUAUGUUCACCAUGACAACCCCUAAGUUUCUGUGGCGAGAUGCAGUUCUGACUGCUGUAUUUCUUAUUAACCGCCUUCCUUCUAGAAUCCUUGGGAACAAAAGUCUUAUCUCUUUUCUCAAUUUCAAUGAACUUUUACAUAACUCUAGCUUAGCAUUAACACAUGCCCUAGUCUCAUCGAUUUACACAAUAUCAUCAUCUAAUCAUACACCAUGGCGCUUCAUCCUCAGGAGGCAUUUUCCCUUUAUAAGAUUAUGUUUGGAUGAGUUGGCACUUUGUUAGUUUUUUGACAUACUAGUGCUUGCGGUGUAUUGCUUUUUGUGUGUUUUUCUAUGUUGAUCAUUGUUUAUCGAUUUUAUAAGGUAUGGUUUCCUGUAAGGAUAUGUUUUGGGGGGAUUUUGUAUGUGUGUUGUUUCUUCUAGUGGUGGGUUCUGCGUUUAAAAAAAAAAAUAGUCUUAUACAAAAGAAAGUAUUCAAGGCCCCAAGUAGGCAAGUAUGCUUCGCCUUGAAAACAAGCCAAUUUGCUAAACUUCACACUUCUUUGAAUUUAUUUUUCUUGGACAUUAUUUGUUGCAAUUCCAAACUGAUAGUGUUCAUGAUAUUAUCAGUAUGUUUACGUGUUGAAUAUUUUAUAAUACAAUAAAUUUGUACUAGUAGUAUAAAUGGUUAUACCGAUGAUUCUCUUGCAGGUCUUGCAGUUGUUGCCUUAGCAUUGCUUCCUCCCUUUGCCACAACUGUAAGUAAAAUUAACAAAUUCAGUUAUGUACUCGAUGCUUUGGAUCAGCAUGCUAAGGAAAUGAUAAACCAAUGUCUAUAUAACAUAAAGGGAAGUGAUGAAGUAUUCGUUCUAUAAAAAUACUUCAAUCAUGUUUAAAUAAUAAACUCAGCAUAUUUUGAAGAAAAUGCUUAACAUAACUGAUACAUAAUUGGAAUCAAUUUGACGAUUUAGUAUGAACUAUCAAAAUAUAAAACACCUGUCUAAUUUGACUUCACAUAAUGAGUGGUGGAAUCAAUUUGUGACUAUUUUACGGAACAUGUGCAGUUUAAGGAGUUUAAUGGGAAAUAGAAAUAAAAGUAACAAUCUUCUAGGAUGGAUAUCUUGCAUUGAGAUUUGUUCCUUAAAAUUCCUCUCAGAGAUGUUUUUACCCCAAAUAUGAGACUUAUAGCACAAAUUAAGCAGCAGGACCCUCCUAUGUUAGGUGCUGGUCCAUUCCCAUUAGGUGCUUGUAAAGCUGUACUAAUCACAAUUUACUUGGUAUGAAUUAUGGAACCUUACAGUUACUGAAAAAAUAAAAAUAAAUGAUGGACCCUUACGUGAUAGAAUCUUCAACUCCUUAAAGUUUGUUUGACAUUUCAAAAAGAUUCAAAUCUGCUCGUGUACUUGAUGUGUAUGAACUAUGAAGAAGUUCUAAUUGCUGGACUACCAUAGAAGCUAUACUACCUUAAAAACAUGGAACCCCAAGUUAAUUCUUUAAAAUAUAGAAGAAGCCAUUAUAUGAGUUUUGGCACUUCCUAAAUGGGAACUGAUUGCCUAAUAUAGAAUAAGUUUUUUAAGUUUUCAAUUCUCUCUCAAGGCUGUAAAAAGGUCCAAGGAUUUGUCUUUUUCCAUCUCAGCCUUCCUCUAUUCUUAGUUCUACUACAUUGUAUGGUGUGGCCUUUGCUAGUUCAAUAACUAUAAUGGCCAGGUUGAGAAAUUCCUGGAAUGGGGGGAAAGACCUGAUGCAGUAACAUUGCAUUCUCAGGCUUAAAGUUCUAGGAAUAUAAAAUGUAUUAUUGUAUCUUUUGACCCAUGCAAGUUUUAGUUAUCUGUUUGCAACUAGAGUAUUGAGUACAAGUUAACCAAUAUUCUUUGAGCUAAAUGGUUGUGUUAGAGUAUCUUGUCCCACAUGGAAUAUCUUGACAAAGUAUGUCUAGUAUAAAAUGAGUUGGGCUAAAUCUUCUCAUAGCCAAUUUGAAUUAGAGAGCUUGAUGCCUUUACAUACUAGACUUUGAGCCUAUUUUAUAAAUUUAACAUGGUAUCAGAGAAGACUAUUCUUGGGCUUAAUUAAACACUCUUCUUGCUUCUUGGCAUACAUUCUUACCCAUAACUAGUACAACUUAUCAAUAGGGCCAAUAGUUGCUCGUGGUUUUCUAGCUUUCUUCUGGGCCCGUGGGUCUCAUAUUCAUCAGGUUCAUGUACAACCAUCAAUCCGUGAAUCCUUGACAAAGUAUGUCUAGUAUAAAAUGAGUUGGGUCAACUCUUCUCAUAGCCAAUUGGUUGUGAGUUAGAAAGCUUGAUGUUAUUAUAUGUUAGAUUUGAGCCUAUUUAUAAAUUUAACAUAAAGUUAAAUUCCUUAAAUUAUUAUGUUAAUAUUAUCGUAUACGAUAGUUCAUGUUAAAUUUAGAACAUAUAAUAUGGUUUUACUUGAAAAUGGUAAAUGUAAAGUGUAAAUAAUGAAAUUUGUUACUAGUGGAUUCUAGGAUUUUUUUUUGGUAUCUUGGGGCUUCUUGUACUCUCCAUUAAACUUCACAACUAGUGAACAAUGAACUUCUUUUGUUUCUCGCUCCACAUAAGCUUAUGAGUCAUUGCUACUAAAUGAAACCUAUGUUACAUGAACUCUUCAUUUUACCUUGAAGUACCCGUGUUUGACACUCAACACUCAGACAAGGGUAGGGUGCUGGACAUAUCAUUUUAUUGUAAAAAAAUUGGUGGAAGAGUACCCUUGUCGAACUCUUGAAAGUAUUGUGUCCGACAGAACACUUCAUCUGAGUCCAUUUAACUUAGCAUGAAACUAUGAAAACUCUAGGUAACAUUGACGACUUGUGGGAAAACAUAGAGUAAUGGUUGUGGGUGAAAUACUGCCCAACUUUUGUGAUGGAUUCCGAUGAAGGUCUAAGAUUUAUGCUAAAGCAACAUUAACCGUAUGGUACACAUAAAAUGAUCAUACAUUGUUUUAGUUCAUGCUUGUUCGCAUUAAAAGAUUAUACAAAGCGUUAUUUUAUUACAUGCUUUGUUGGUAGUAAAAAAGGACAAAAGAGUUUAAAUGAUUCUGAAACCAGUCCAACACUCUAAUUUUUGUGGCUUUGAAGUUGAGUUAGAAUUGAAGUUUGAAUAUGAUGCGGAUUUGGCUAUGAUUUUUUGAAUUUCUGAGUGGUGAAGAAUUGAUCUACAAAAAAUUCAUGUAGAGGCAAGUUGAUUAUUUUUGGUUGUAUAAUAUACUUGGAGCAAGGUCGUUGAUUUUAGAAGAGAUGAUCAGAUGAACUUGUAAGUCUAAACUAUUAUGUCAAGUGAUUACUCAUCAAUUAGCUCUCAGAAGGAUUGAAACAUCAAUCUUAGGGUUGAGAAUAUGCUUUCUAUUUCACCUAGUAUUUCAUUAUGUUGUGAAAAACUACCUAUAGAUGGAAGAAGAGAAAUUAUUGACAUGUUUGCAUGGAAAUUGAUAUUGUAGGAACAAUUGUACAACGACUGGAGUUUUUAGAGCUGUGAAUGGUGUGUAUAAUUGGGCAAUUAGACUUGGUUUCUUACAUCCAAUAUCGGUCUUUGGAAGAUGCACAAUGGGAAGUUCAGCACCCCUACUCUUGGUAUGCUGUUGUCUUCCUUUGAAAUUUCUACACCCAUUUUCCUUGAUGAAAGCUAAGGGGAUUCAUCCCACUACUUGCUUCAUUAUACCAGGCCUCCUUUACACCAUUGUGUUAUGAGGGACAUUCCCUCUUUCCUUCUUGUUUCUUAUUGGAAAUGGUCCUUGAAGUGGUGGUAAGGUAGAAUAACGUCAAGUCGUAAAGUAGUAUACUACUAGAAUCUUCACACUCGACACACUUUAGCUUGAGAAGCCACCAACUCCAAGGGUUAGCUCAACUGAUAAAGGCCUACAAGGAAAAACAUUGAGGUCUAUAGUUUGGGUCCUCUUGGGGCCAGGACGCGAGAAAUUACUCUUGAAUCCCCUCGUAUUGGCAUGGAAAGGCUGUCUUUGAUCGGGCUGUGGUCAGUGAGGACAAAGCCACAUCAGGACCCAAAAAAGAAAAAACAAAAAAGGUUGAGAGAGCACUACAAUGUCUGAAAUGUCCUUUUCCUGGUUGUAUUUGUUGAACUUGUUUGAAGUUAUUGGUAAUUUUGACAUUUCAGCUAUGUGUACACCCUUUCACGUGAAAAGGGUUGUUCCAUAGUUGCUCUUAACUCUUAAAUGUACAGAUAUUUGAAAACAGUUUUCUUAGCUGGUAUUUUGUCUGGUCCCUCCAUUAUAUCAACACUUCUAUCAUUGUAAUUUAAAUUUUGGUAGAUAAAUCCGCGAAACAAUAUUGAUUCUCUUCCACGAUUAGCCACUCCCCAGCUCUUAUUAACCCCGGGCCGAAUUCUCUCAUUUCGAUAGAAUGUAACAGAGAAUGACGAACCUGAGUAUCAGGGGCUUUUAGUGGGAAGGUUAAUGACCUAUACUUGCCCAAUGGAUACAAUCUGCUCAUCGUAAAACUUCAUAUGGUUUUGAUAAAUCCAUAGGACAUAUAUGAGUGGAGCCUGUUGUGAUAUGGUUGACAUAGUUGGAUUGGAGUUCCUAGUUAUAUGUUAAGGAAUGUCAUUAUCUUGCAAAUGGGUGUAUAAAUUUUAACAACUAGUGACCAGAAAAUUAUUCUGUUCCUCUGGGUAAGAUCUUACCAGAAACAUCUCCUUGCUCGCUGUAACAUCCCAUCAGCUUCAUUACUUCUUGGAUGUAGUUGCAAGUGUCGGAGGAAAUUCUCUGGAUAGAGGAAGCAGCUCUACUGCAUUCCAAAAAAAAUUAAUGGGAUGCCAUUUUACCAUUUUGUAUUAGCUGUAAUAUCUUGACAUCUUAGCCCAUAUAUUGUCUGAGCUGGGAAGGACUAACCACACGAUUUCCUGUUUCAUCUUUUGAGCUUUAGUUUCAUUAAUGCAUGACUUGCAUUAUCCUUGUAAUAAGAUCUGUCAAGACAAACGAACUAUCUUUUAAUGGAAAUAAUUUGACUCUGCAGUUUCUCCAAGUGCUUCUCAACAGAAAAUUUAUUGAUUUCUCGACUUCUGUUUCCCUUUUGCAGAUGUGAAGAAGUGAGCCUCGCUGCCUACCUGAUCAAAUGAUAGUACACUGCCAGAAAAGGUUAGAUGGCCUUGACAUCUUGUGGAAAUCAUUUUCAUCCUGUGAGUUCUAUUGUUUGAAAUGACUUGAAUGGUUAUCAGUAAUAAUGAUUCUGGAGAAAUACUUAAAUGUAAAAAUGUGUACACAGAUCUUUGUCCAGACUGAACUUAUCUUGGUGAGAGUUUUUAAGAUUGGAAAUGAGCCUCUGCUCAUGGAAUAAUGCAUCUUGAAAGCUGUAACAUGCAUGUGAAUGUCCUCAUGAAAUCUCAGUUUAAGCAUAAAAUGGCUUAACUAUCGAGAGACCUCGCUUCACUUGGGAUGAUAAUAAUAAUCUUAAAAUGAAAACAUAUAAUGGGGUAGAACUGUAUUUAUCAUUCAGACUUUCUUUCAGGUUCCUUUAAAGAGACUUUUUUGCGUACGGAAUAAUAGUCAUAAUAAAAUCUUUAGAGGACAAGGUCAUUUUAUACUACAUACUACAUCUUGCUUCUCACCCUUGGAGAUUGGUAUGCAAUAUUCCGUGUCAAAAUACCAGAAUCUUAAUUCAUGGAGGAGGAAGUUGUAACAAUGAGAACUUUUAUUGGAGUCCUCGGAGAUUGGUAUGCAAGAUUCUGUGUCAAAAUACCAGAAUCUUAAUUCAUGGAGGAAGUUGUAACAAUGAGAUCUUUUACUGUACUCCAUGUUUAAUACUACGAUGCAUUAGUUGUCAUAUUAUCUGUUUUUUUAGCACUCUAGGAGUCUCUUUUGUGCUUUGAUUUGAGAAAGCAUUCUACUAGAGCUUCGGAAUUAACCUGAUUGUUAAGGAGUGUGAACAAGGGUUUUAAGAAGAAGAGAUGCCACGUGGCAUUAGGUCUUUAAGAGAAGUAAACAGAAGACAGUCGAGGAAUUCUGGGAAUAUAGCGUUACACACUCAGUGCGGGGACGUACAGGGAUGUUAAGAUUGUGACAUGUUUUCUGUUGUUCAAUGGAAGGUCAUAUUGUAUCACUGAUUAAUGUCAUGUACUCAUGUCUCACUUAUCUUCACUAUGACAAUGAGCAAAAAGAAUCAAUGCAACAUCUAGUAUGACAUAUGCAUAGAUGGUACACUUGAGAGUGAGUAAGUCAAAGGACAAAUCGUUGUUUCCAUCUCUUGUUAGGAAUAAAUGUCUAUAUUGUUUAAAGGCAUUCUUCUUCCCCUAAUUGAAUGUUUCCUUCCAAGUGGAUUGCAUCAAUUUCAAAUGGUUCGCAUUCCAGUAUGCUCCAUCUUGAACUCACUUGUACUUCAGUUAUGACCUUAAGAGAGCCCAUCCCCAAAAACUAGUUGUUAGGGAUUGAAAUCCCAACACCGAGCGGAACUUGCCCCCAUAAGCCAAAUGAUUUGGCGGUUCGGCAAAUUUCAAUAAAUGGAAAUUUGAGAAUUCUGCACAUUUGCAUAUUAAAUUGAUUUUUUACAUACACACACAACAAACACACGUGUGUAUAUAUAUGUAUAUUAAAAAGCUUAAAGAAAUAAAAAAUUUAAUAUACUAAUAAUAUCUUGUAAUUUAGGAAGUAUAUACUUAUGAAUUCUUAUACUUGAUAGUUUUAGUAUAUAAAACAUUAUAUAAAUAGUAUAGUAUUAAUAAUAUUUUCAAAUUUUACCAUUAAAAACUACGUAAGAAUUCCCUAGAAGAAUUUAGAAGAAUCCACAAAUCUGGAUAUGGGAAAUUCUCCAGGAUUCAGUGAUUCGCCGACCUACAAUCCUUGCAUCUUAGCCUCUCCUAGAUAGCCCUUUUUCGUUUAGAAGGUACUUCAUGGAUUGCCCUUCUCCGAUCUUUUUCGGAAGCUAGCUAUUAGGGAGGGAUAGCCCAUGACCAUAUCAACACACAAGUUGCCCAUACAACCAAUGCGGUAUUGGCCCCCAUAAGGCCAAAUGGAAUCAUAAGAGCUUCCCUGUGGAGUUGGAGUUCUUAUGCUCGUCUGUAGUUUAUACCUGUGCAUUUUUUAAUCACCUAAGCUACAGGUCACAUCUCAACCUGAUUUCCUCCUAGGAGUACCCAAUAAAGACGAAGUAACCUUUCCUGUCCCAACCAUUUUUGAUUGAGAUCAGAAAGUAGCUGUUGUCUACUAGCAAUGCAUCCUCAAGUGUCAAGUGGGUUUGAGGAGAUUUCAUAAUUGGUGUUUCAUCCUUUAUUCAUGCAUAAGAAGAUAACAUACAUUGGGCAAUCAACAUUUACAAUUUGUAGAGCCUCCUAAUGCAUGUUGUUGGUGUUAAGCCCGUGAAAAACAUAAAACCAUAGAACAAUUUUUUUUUAAAUUAGUUGCCUUCAAAUGUGAGAUAUGAGAUGAAAGUGAAGAGUAGGACAAUGGCCCAAUAAGAGAAGAACUGUUUGACAAGAAGUCUUGGGAAUGAUCUAGAGACCAAAUAUGCAUACUCUAGCAUAAACGAUUCGCCCUCUCACAUGUAGAACUUUCAAAUUGGAGAAUUGUGCUUAGACUUGGGAUACAAGAGAUUGGGAAAACAUCUCGAAAGAAGAACAAAAACCCAAAAUAAAUAGCAUGCAUUCUAGGAAACCAUUAUUGAUUUUAUUGAAAAUCUCAAAUAAUUCUAUUAUGGAUACUAUAUCUCGUGCUCAAUUAGAAAUUGGAGAUUAGUGCUAGAUUUUUUUUUUUUGCACACAUUAGUGUUUAUGUUAAGUGCAAUAGUGAAAUAAGUACAACCUAUCGUUGAUGAGGAUGCCUUAUUGGAAGGAUUUGAAGCUUCUUGUGGGUAUCACUAAGUGAUGCAAUAACUAGCACCAAUUCCAAAAUCUUUGGGAAUUGGUGUUAGUUAAAUAAAUUACUCACUCCAUUACAUUAAAAGAGUCUCGCUUAUAAUAUAUGUAAAUGUUAGUGAUGUAUUUCUAUUUUGUAUUUAUCAUUGAAUAGAAUAAGUUUUCAGUUUAAUAGUGGUGUCGUGUAAUGAAAUUAUGACGACAAAUUUAAGAAAUGUUAUGUUAUUUUAUAUAGUAUUAUCAAUAAUUUCAACAAAAAAAAGAACUCUUUUUGUGGAACAAAAGUAUUUGAGAAAUGAAACCUGUUUAUUGUGAAAUUGGAGAAAUAAUGAAAUUCACCAAAUAUGAAUUUUAAAAAUAUACAUCUAUAACUAAACUAUUUUGUUAUAAAAUUCACGAGCAUAAAUCUUAAUUAGUUAUGGUCAAGAGAUUUUGAAGGUCAACUUUGAAAUCCACUCAAGAAUAAACAAUUAAUAAGAUUUAAGGGCCCAGGUAAAUGUUAAUGAGAUUUAUUAUAUAUAUCUUCCACAUGUCACUGAAGUACUCCGUAAGUACCCUACUUGUUAAACUUUAAAAAUUAUGCACCAUUUAUUAAUUAAUAGCAUAAAACAGGGACCUUCAAUGUUUUGGGCAAAUAAACCUUCCACCCCUCUAAGGGCCGGAGUGUCUUAUUUAAUUAAUAAAUUAAGGGUUAAAAAGGGUAAUUCGUCCUUCCGCUCCUUAGUCUUCUCUUUCCGCCCCUUAGAGGAGCGGAAUACAAUUUUUUUAAAUAUUCCUAAUCGUUAGAUCUUACUUUGGACGGUCCUAGAUGGAAUAGUGCUCCCAUCUAUAUAUAUAUAUAUAUAUAUAUAUAUAUGAAUAUACACAUAUUUGUGUACAUAUAUAUGUAUGUACACACAUAUAUAUGUGUAUGUAUUUAUGUUUAUAUAUGUGUGUAUAACUCUGUUAUAAUAUCACAAGGUUUGAACCAUAAUCCCAAUACCUCUAACUUAAAAAUCCUAAUUUGAAAACUCUAGUCCUCUGACUUCAUCUUUGUUCUCUAAUCACUUGAUAGUUGAUUAUCUUAUCUGAUGCAUGUCCUUGAAGCUUUUGAUUUACCAAAUGAGAUGGCUUAUAUUAAAAUGAGAUGGCCCAUGCUUGUAUUCGGUUAAAAAGUUUGUGAGAAAGUCGCUACUUUUUCGAGCUGAGUUGAGCUAAAGCUUGAAUAGUCGAAAUACGAGCCGAAUUUUGUCAACAAGCAAAAAAUCGAACUCGAUUCAUGUCAAAUCUAAAUCAAGCAAUAAAUUAUGAGCUGAAUUUGAGCAAGAGGGGGUGUUCGGUUCAGUUCGGCUCAAUUCACACCCAUACUUUUUAUAAAGAUAUUUAUCGCAGGUAACCAAUUGGUACCUAUCACCCCUUACUACAGGUAACGGGUACAACAUUCUAUACCCAAAAAAAUAUGGAUUAUUUUCCUACUGGUAAAGUUUCCUAACCCGCUCGUAUCCAUCACGUAAUUAACCGCAGGGUACCCAACACGUGAUAAAAGAAGACGUAAAUUUGGGCAUAGAAAAAAUCAUGCAUAAAUUUCUGGCACUUAUUGUCAGAUAAUACUGCUAUGAUUUAUAUCUGAGGUAUAGGCAGUAAGCCAAAUAUAAUCUUAUAUUUCUGUUUAUGCUAUUAUUCAACCAAAUACAAAGUUUUGUGUGUGUUUGCACUCACCACUCUUAACAAACUUAGAAGAUACCUAUUUGGGCUUGUUUACAUUCAUUGAGUAUAUACUUCUGCAACUUUAAAGUUUAACCAUGUAUUGUGUUUCAAACUUUGUUGUGGACUCGAUGAAAAUAAUUUUCCAGGUUCCUCCCUGUUGUUUGUUAAGUGCAUGGGAUGUUUGUGACAACUCCAUUAUUUAAUUUAACUAUUUAAUGAAUUUAAUUACACACACACACACAUAUAUAUAUACAGAGAGUGAAGAUGUAAUUCUUCUACAAAACAUCAAGACUAAAAUACUCCCUUUACAAAUUAUAGUUUCCUUUGUUUUAUCAAUAUAUAAAUAAUAUAGGUUCCUUGGUGUACUAUAAUUACACCAGGAGUGGUAGGAGUAAUCAAGCUGUGAAACUUAAGCCCAUUGCUUUGAGCAUCUUACAGUUCCUGUUGAUACCUCAGUACACAGCUGGUAUCUUAAGAUUCAAGAUUCUCCAAAAUUUGAAGCUUAUGUAGCUUAGCAUUAAAAAUAAAUCCUACUUUAUACAGCAUGAUACGGAAGAAACUUCAUAAAUGCUUUUUUGUAAAUGAAGGAAUGCUAUAGGACUAGGUAUUGAAGAGUACCUUGGCCUCAGAAAUUUGGUUUGCCAAUUGGUUAUGUUCCUCUUUUGCUUUGUUGUACCGAUCAAUCACUGACUUCAUGCUGCUAGAAGUAGCAUUAAAUUCUGUUAGCUUUUUUUGCUACCACUUGUAUAUACAUUUUGUGUUCAAACUUUUAAACAUAUUGUGUAGCACCUGUUAUUUAGAAGAAAUGUUGAUAUAAAACAUAAAUUUUUUGUGUAAGUUCUGAUAUAGCAUGCAUCACGUCCAUUAGAAAUGACUUUUUUUAUCCUUUAUUCUUGACAUGCAUAUUAAGUUGCACUGGCUUGUUAGUCAAUUUUAUCAUUGUUUGAAAUGACGAAUUGGCUAUGUCCAUGUCAUAUGUUUGUCAACGUGGUUUGUCAUGAUGGAAAUUUAAAAAAAAUAAAAAUAAAACAAAAUACAAAUUGUUCAUCCUGUUUCUCAUCCAUCUCCAUAUCCUUCAGAGCACCAUCACGACAUCACACCAACAAAAACCAGUAGCUACAACCUUAUGAAUCCAACUCAAAUUUCACAAAUCCUAAUACUCACAAAUCAACAAAACUCACUUUCAAAAAUCUAAUUCAUGCAAAUCAAAAAAAUCUAGUCUCACAGAUCCUAAUUCUCAAAAAAACAACAACCCCACUUUGACAAAUCCUCCUGCAACUUCAUUCUUCCUCUUUUAUAAACACUUGUACAAACAAAACCCUUACUACUACCGAUCAAAACAACAAAUCAAUCUUAAGGCCCAGAUCUGCCCCAAUUCAAAUGGAGAUUCAAAUGUUUUGUUGCCUAGCAGAAUUUAGUUUUAUUUUUCAGUAAUUAAUUUGGGUUUGGCGGAUGUUGGUUGAGGUCGGCAGUGGUGCUAGGUGGUGAAUCGAUUGGGAAUUCGAGCGUUGUUUCAUGGCGAAUUGUGGGCGAUUGAUUAUUCGUAUGUUGGGGUUGGUGGAUUCCUUCAUUUUCCUCAUGUUGGUGAUAAGUUUGAUGGAGAGUUUUCAGGGUUUGGUGAACAAGUGUGAUGGAGAAUUUUCUUGGUUUCCUAGUUGGUUGAAAAAGAACUUUAAAAUUGGUUUUUUUUUUUUCUUUUAUUAUUUUUUAUGGUGCCUGGUUAACUUAUUUUCUUUUCUUUUGAUUGUAUAUGUUUGUAUUUUUUUGGUGAUAAUACACUAAAAUUUUAUUUAUUUUAUUUAUUGUUUAGCAUAUAUUUAAUUAUUACAGUAUUUUGAUUAAUUUAAUUUUCAUUUUAUGAUUUUUUUUAUGAUAAACUGUUUGGUUUUCAUUGAUUUACCUGACUUUAUCGUUUAAUAUGUUAAAUAUGAGAUCCAUUUAUUGUUACAAAAAUUUCUAAUACACGUCAUCGAUGCCACAUAAUGUUUUAAUCAGUUGAAUAAUACACACAAGCGUCCAACAUAGUACCACGUAUAUAUGCUGUUAACUUUUAACAUUCAUGGACAGAAUUUUCAUUUUUUGUAAAAAAAAAUAUAGUUUAGUGAGUUGAGUGUAAAAAAAUUCAGUUGAAUGAGAUAAUUGUAAAUUUGACUUCAUUUCGGGGGAGGAAAAGUGAUUUAACCCACAAAAAAUAAACAAAGUUUUUGCAGAAUGCAAAUUAAGCAAAGAAAACUAAGUUGGAUAUUGAGCAAACUAAUGAUACCCAUUGGAACUCAAAUAUGGUUAAGAUAACAAAUGAGUACCACAGACUAGCCUAUAAUGUGUUCUAGAAUUUUCUAAAGUAUGUAAACAUAAAAAAAUUAAACGACAUACAGGUCCGAUGGAAAAUUUAUGAAGACAUGAUGAAGAUAGUAUACUAAGUUUUUACAUCAUAUAUGUAGCAAGUGUAUGGAAUGAAUCUACUGGUCUCUGACCUGAGUUACCUAACAAAAUUGGUGAAGAUUAUAAGGAGUCUUGAGGAUGAAUAGAAGGGGAAAGCGAGAAAGGGGUGGAUAUGAGCACAGCAGCUUUUGCCUUUUGAAAAGGUGAACAAGUUGGACAGCUAUGGUUAAAGGUGUUAUAACUUUUAAAAAAAAGGCUAUAUUAGAGAUAAUGACUCUUCCUACAGUAGUAUAUUUUAAAGUGGAAACGUAUACAAAGUCUCUAUGGAAUUGUAUGGAUCUCAAGAAACUCUAAUGAUUCAGCGGGAAUUAUUGCAUGGAGCUAAAGAACAGCAGGGGAAGCCUCAAUAGAAGUCUGUUUUCUUGAUACAUCCUUUAAAUAUUUGUAGGUAGAAACCAACAAUAUGCACUGAACCUAGACAUUCUAGAGAGUACUUACCACAUUAAGACCUUUUUCUUUUUUUGAAAAAUAAAAAAUACAUAAACCAUUAGAAAGAGCCAAAAAAGUGGUGCAAACUCUUGUAGACACGCAGUAUAAACAACAUAUGGGAAACAAAAGGCAAACCUUUGCUUCCAAUCAAGACAAAAAAAAUAAAAUAAAAUCCAAUUCUAAGUUUUUUCCUUAAAGUUUCAACCUUGUUGACAUUUUUUAGGAAAGUUGUCUUGGUGGAAGCAAAUCCUCCCUAUAUAGGGAACCUCCAAAAAUAUCUACAUAAAGCUCCUAGGUUAUGUUUGUUUGCAAAAAAAACAUGCUUGAGAUUGGAAUAUUUCUCUUAAUUUAACACUAUUUCGGACUAUUUUAUCCUAUGAUGAGGGAUUAAUAGUCUUUUAAAUAGUUCUAUGGACUAUUUUUUGUCAUUCCUAAGACUAUUUAUGAGGGAUUUUAUAAUCCCAUGAUGAAUGUGGGAUUUAAUAGUCCCCUCAUUUUAAGUUAUCAAAUGGUUUUAUGGAUUAAUAGUCCCACAUCAAUGGACUAAUAGUCCGUCGUUGAAGGAUUAGAUAGUCCGAAAUAAUGUUAAAUUAAGACUAAUAGUCUAAUCCUAAAUUUGCUUUUUGCAAACAAACAUGGCCCUAGAGGAAACUCUCCUAGAAAAGUCUACAAAAUUCACAAUGAAACCCAAAAACACCUCAUGGAGCCAAAAUAAAAGAACGACCAUGAAGAGAAAAUGAAUAUAGUUAAUUGGCCUCGCUCUUCCUACCCAAUACCUCUUAUUACAUUCCUUUCGAAUUUCCAUCAAGUAAUACGAGGCACCAAAUCCUUCCAUUCUUUCCAUAUCUUCACCCCACACCAAGCCUGCAAUGUAUUUCAUAUCUUCAUCCAGUGCUUCAGACACUACUACUGCACUCACCCCCUGAGGAAAUCUCAACUUUUCGGAAGUUCUAUUCCAAAUCUACUUCCUCUCAUUAUGCUCAGUCAGGUAUACAUCUUUGUGCUUUUAAUGUUUCGUCAACUUACCCUGGUUGGAUCAUUGACAAAGGUGCUUCUAAGCAUAUGACCGGAUCCUCCACUCUCUUUUACUUCAUAUACGUCUUGUUCUGGAAAAGACAAGGUUCACGUAGCUGAUGGUUCCCUCUCUUCUAUCUCUGGGAGAGGCUCUGUAGUUUGUACUCCUUCAUUGACAUUAUCAUCUGUUCUCCAUAUUCCUUCAUUUACUGCAAAUUUGUUAUCUGUUCAACGUCUUUCUGAAUCCUUACACUGUUCAGUAAUCAUUUUCCCAUCUCAUUGUGUUUUUCAGGAUUUGGUGACGGGGCAGAAGAUUGGUAGUGAUAGUGCAGCUGAUGGUCUCUAUUAUUCUCCAACCCAAAAAGGUUGCAAGUGUUAUCAUCCUCCUUCACACAAAAUCUUUGUCACUCGGGAUGUUACUUUUUGGGAAUUGGAACCUUUUUAUUCUUCUUCACCUUCUCCUCAGGGGGAGGAUGUUAUUGAUGAGGAGAAGCUUCCUCCUGAGACUGACAUUACAAGUUCUAUUACACAAUCUUCUCAUGUUCCUCCUGUUAUUUCUGAUAAUUCUACACAGGGGAAGUUACAAUUACAAGAGUCAGAUGCUAGAUAGAAUGAGCCUGAGUUGAGAACCUAUGUUCAAAAAGGCAAGAAUAAGGUCCUCACUUCUGCAACAUUACACCAACCCUGCUCAGAACCUAGUCCUAAUAAUGUUUCUGAUGAUAUUGACAUUCCUAUUCCUCUUAGAAAAGGGGUUAAGCUUGUACUCAACAUCCUAUCUCUAAUUUCUUAGCCUAUAAUAAAUUAUCUGCAUCCUACCACUCAUUUGUUUCUUCCUUGUCUUCAAUAUCUAUACCUCAGGGGUGGAGAGAAGCAAUUAGUGAUGAGAAUUGGAAACAAGCUAUGAUGGAGGAGAUGAAUGCCCUAGAAAAGAAUGAUACAUGGGAACUAGUUUCUCUUCCUUAUGGGAAAAAAUCAGUUGGUUGCAAAUGGGUAUAUACAGUCAAACAGAAGCCAGAUGAGAUAGUUGAGAGACUCAAAACCAGACUAGUUGCAAAAGGGUAUACUCAAACUCAUGGAAUUGAUUACCAGGAGACAUUUACUCCGGUGGCGAAGAUGAACUCUGUUCGUACCAUAAUCUUAUGUGCAACUAACUUUUGCUGGGAUAUUCAACAAUUAGAUGUGAAAAAUGUGUUCCUUCAUGGUGACUUAGAGGAGGAAGUAUACAUGGAAAUUCCCUCUGGUGUUGCUUCAUUUGUCACCAAGGGUAAGGUGUGUAAACUGCGAAAGGCUCUAUAUGGUUUAAAGCAAUCUCCCAGAGCCUGGUUUAGUGGAUUUCACAAAGCAAUGAUAAGAUUUGGGUACAAGCAGAGUCGGGCAGAUUAUACUCUAUUUGUCACACAGAUAAAAGGUAAGACUACCAUUCUUAUCGUUUAUGUUGAUUACAUUGUGGUGACAGGGGAUCAUAGAGAAGAGAUGGUUAAAAAACGAAUCUAGCCAAAGAGUUUGAGAUUAAAAUUCUUGGUCCUUUGAAAUAUUUCCUUGGUAUUGAAGUUGCAAGAUCUUCCAGUGGGAUUUUUCUAUCUCAAAGGAAGUAUGUCGUUAUCUUUUAACAGAAACUAGCAUGUUGGGAUGUAAGCCUACUGAUUCUACUAAGUUAAUCAUCAUCUAGUAGGUGGCACAGGACAUACAGUUGAUAGAGAAAGAUAUCAACGUUUGGUGGGACGAUUGAUAUACCUCUCUCAUACUAGACUUGAUAUAUCUUAUGUUGUGGGAAUAAUGAGUCACUAUAAGCAUGUUUCUCGACAUUGUCACAUGGAAACUAUUUACAGAAUUCUAAUGUAUCUCAAGUCUGCUCCUGGGAAAGAUUUAUUUUUCGCACCACAUGGUCAUAUGAGAGUUCCGACUCAGAUUGGGCCGACUCUAUAGAGGAUCGCCGUUCUACAUCAGGUUACUGUUUAUUUGUUUGAGGUAACCUUGUUACUUGGCGUAGUAAGAAACAAUUUGUUGUAGCAAGAUCUAGUGCUGAGACUGAAUAUUGAGCUAUCGCCUUUUAGGUAUAUGUGAACUAAUGUGGCUUCAAAUCUUGCUAUAAGAUUUGGGUGUUACAACUAAAAGGCCUAUGCAGUUAUUUUGUGAUAAUAAGGCAUCCAUUAGUAUUGCAAACGACCCAGUACAACACGAUAGAACGAACCACAUUGAGAUUGACAGACACUUUAUCAAAGAAAAGUUAACUAGUGGUCUUAUCUGAUUACCUUUUGUCAAAAUAGAACAUCAACUUGCUGAUAUUUUGACUAAAUGUCUUAGUAGUAAGAUAUUUCAUCCACUAUGUUUCAAGUUGGGUAUGCGAGACAUCUAUACACCAACUUGAGGGUGAGUGUUAGAAGAUAUGAUAGAGAUUUACCAUAAUUAUAGCUUCCAUAAUCAGUAUGUACACAUUACUGUAAUUUAGGAAUUACCAUAAUUGUAGUUAGGAUACUUGUGUAUAUAUAUAUAUUCAGUCUAUGUAAUAGAGAAUUAAUAUUCAAUGAAAUAAACGAUCGCUAGCAAGCCCCAUCCCAAGUGACUAUCUUUUCUCAUUAGAGAAGAAGAGAAGAGUGGAGUAGGGCUUUGAUUGUCGUGAACCACUUAAAACCGCUUGUGCUCUUUACAUUUCUGCACUAGUCUACGUUUACAUACUACUCUAUUGUUUUAUUAGGUGUUCUUGCUAUAACUGCCAACAUCUAACUUGAUUUUCCUUAAAACAGGAGAAGGGGUUUUACAACUUUUUUCCUUUGCAUAAUACGUUAAAGUAUUAGUAGUUAAAAAAAAGGACUAUUAAUCCCCUCCCCCUCUUUAGUCUAUUUUAGAGCUUUUGGGAUCUAAGAGAAAUAUUGUUUAAUUCUUCACCAAAUUAUAAGAAGCUCAAAGCUUUUGGAUGCUUGUGUACACAUGAUUAAGACCAUAUGCAGCAAAUAAACUUCGUCUCAAGUCUAGACCUUAUAUCUUUUAAGAUACUUUAGAUCACAAAGUGCAUAUAAAUGUCUGAGAAUAUUUCUAUAGGCAUGCUAUACAUGUUUCGCCAUGUUCAAUUUAUUGAGAUUUCCUUUUAUAAUUACUCAGAGCAAUGAAUCAUUCACUGAAAAUACUUUAUCUGCUUGGUCUAGUCUUUCUUUGUCACUUGGUGCUUCUUUUCCUCUAGGUUUUCAAAAGCAUGUCACUUCUCAUAUGGAAACUAUAUACCAUGCAUGAAUCUACCGACGAGGACAAUUUAACUAAAAUGGAACAUGUAUCUCCUCAACUAGGAUCUCCUUGUCCCACUGCCACUGCCACUGCCACUGCCACUGCCACUGCCACUGCUACUGCCACUGCCACUGCCUAGAAGAAUGGCAACUAGCUCCCAGCUAUGUCUUUAUGCCCGUAUACUCUAUAUGCUAAUUUUACCAUCAAACAUCCUCUUUUUUCACCGCUUGAAUAUACGUGUAUUACUCGAGCACUAUGAUAUCCUAACAUAAGAUCCUAAGAUGUUAUGGCUACUGAUUUACAACUCUUCUUCAUGAUGGUACAG